rnacentral:rRNA from 1 species
AGUGGCGGACGGGUGAGUAAAGCGUAGGAAUCUGUCCUGGAGAGUGGGGAUAACCCGAGGAAACUCGGGCUAAUACCACAUGAUAUCGAGAGAUCAAAGGCAGGGGACCCUUCGGGGGCCUUGCGCUCUAGGAUGAGCCUACGUCGGAUUAGCUAGUUGGUGGGGUAAAGGCCUACCAAGGCGACGAUCCGUAGCUGGUCUGAGAGGAUGACCAGCCACACUGGGACUGAGACACGGCCCAG